CAGUCCUGGCCCUGGGGGUAAAUGGGCUCAGCUCCCUCCAGUAUCCAGCACAAGCUAUAACAUCGGUUGAUAUCAAGACUCUCCUACCUGCUGCUUGCUGUACCAUGAAGCCUGCUGAGCUGAGAUUCCUUCUAGGGCUCCUCAUCUUCUUCUUGCAGACUAUGCCAUUAUUGGGUGGUGUUGAUCGACUUUCUGGAAGGAUAUGUGCAGAUCUCAAAGAUGCCUGCAAAAUGGACCUGGACACGGGCAGCUGCUAUGAAGUCCACUUAAGAUAUUUCUACAACAAAACAUCCAGACGGUGCCAGAGUUUUGUCUUCAGUGGCUGCAAUGGCAACCUUAACAACUACAAGCUUAAAAUAGAAUGUCAAAUAGAAUGUGAAGAAGCAUACAUCAUACCGGGCCAUCUAAGGCCAGCCAACCCGUAGCGGAAUACAAAGUCGGAUUCGGAUGUUGACUGAUCCACCACCUGAAGACAGACAUAAGAAAAUUCAGACAAAUUUUAUGAUCUCGGAGAAUUUCCACUGAGGCUGUAAGAGUGGAUUAAGAAGUCUGUAACAACACAGUGGAAAGAGAGGCUCAACUAGGAGUGAACUGUACAUGCAAUGAAAUUGCCUGGCCCGCUGCAAACUGCUUGUUCUGUUAAUGCUCCACCACUGGGCACACGGGUGCCUCGAGCAUUUCUCAAGAACCUUCCAUCAUGAGUUUACUACCAGACGGAGCAGAAAAGGCCAUAGCAAAUAAAUAAAUAAAUAAAUGAAGGAAAGUUAAUGACCCUCAGAGUUUCCCACCUCACAUGUCUUUCAUCUCAAGUUUUAUGCUCUGUGCCUUCCACUGAAAUAGAACAACUCACUUGCUCUGCCCCAGGGACAUGGGGUGCAGGACGUUCUCCGCUGUAUUUGUGCAUGACGACAGAGACCCUUCGUGCAGAACAUCAAGGUGCCCAGCAUCCUGGGAGACAUUCAGUCAACUCGUCGUAGCCUCAGUCCUCAUCCAUUCAGUUGUGCUCACUUCUGCUGAUUCUUCUUGCUGGCAGCUGGGUUGGUUAGCAGGUAAAACAAGAAGGUAGACUCUGCUGGAACCAUCAGAGCAAGGCACACCCAGACUCCUUUCCACCUGGCCUGACAAGGAGCGAUGAACAUCAGGAACAGAAACAUUCACGGAUAAACCAAACAGAAAAUCCAGAAAUGGGUCCGAGUGUAAUUAAGAACAUGAUGAAGUUAGCAUUUCAAAUCAAAGCGAAUUUUUAUGUAUUCUUUUUAAAAUAUAUUUUAUUGAUUAUGCCAUUAUAGUUGUUCUAUUCCCCCCUUCAUUCCCCUCCACCCUGCACACUUCCUCCCCCACCA